rnacentral:lncRNA from 1 species
AAAGGGCCCAAAUCCCAAAGAUCCCAAAUCCCAGAGGGCCCUUCCCAAAUCCCAAAGACCCCAAAUCCCAAAGAUCCCAAAUCCCAGAGGGCCCUUCCCAAAUCCCAAAGAUCCCAAAUCCCAAAGAUCCCAAAUCCCAGAGGGCCCUUCCCAAAUCCCAAAGAUCCCAAAUCCCAAAGAUCCCAAAUCCCAGAGGGCCCUUCCCAAAUCCCAAACCUCUCCAAAACCUCUCUCCUACCCCCCCAAAAAACCCCAAACCUCUCCCCAAAUCCCGAAUUUCCCUAAUUGAGUUUUUGUUUUAUGUUUGAAUUUUUUGUUGUAUUUUUGCAGCUCUCGCUGUUCCCGUUCCGGCCCCUCCCUUUCCCAGGAGGUUCCCAAGGAUGAUCCCGAGGCUCUGGAAAUUCCCAAAAUUCCAGUUCCUCUUCCACAUUCCCCAGAACCAGCCCAGAAUUCCCAAAAUUCCCCCCUGGCUUUUCCUGGGGGGUUCCAGCCCCGAAAUUCUGCAGCCCCACAGCAGAGGGAGGAGGAGCCGGGAGCUGAGGCACAGAAUGAAGGCUCAGAUUCUGUCAUUUUGCUCAAAGUCAAGGAUUCCAAGACUCCAGCUCCAAGCCUCCCCUUUUUCCAGGCCGAGCUGUGGAUUAAAGAGCUGUGAGUUCACAUCCCUGACACUUUUUAGGAUAGAAAAAAAAACCCCCCAAAAUCCUGAUUUUUAACCUCAUUUUCCCAUUAAAAUUGGAUUUUUUUUUUCUAGGACAAGUGUUUAUGAUUCCCGAGCCAGAGAGAGGUGGAGACAAAUCGAGGAGCAGAAAGCUCUGGCCCUGCAGCUCCAGAGCCAGGUGAGACUUGGGGAAAAAAAAAAAACCCUGGAAUGGCAAAAAUGGGGGAAAAAAGUGAAAAAACAGGGAAAAAAAUCAAAUUUUUGAACUCUUUGACAGCCAAGAAAAGAGGGAAUAUUAUCCCAGAGUGGGAAGGAGCUCAGGGAUUGGAAAAGGAGGCAGGAUCUGUGGGAAUGGGGGGAAAAAAUGCAGAUUUGGCACUAGGAAAGGUUGAAUUCCAUCAUUCCAGAGGUUUUUCCUGAUUUUAUUGAUCCUAAAUCCAAGAAAUGGGGGAAAAAAUGCAGAUUUGGCACUUGGAAAGGUUGAAUUCCAUCAUUCCAGAGGUUUUUCCUGAUUUUAUUGAUCCUAAAUCCAAGAAAUGGGGGAAAAAAUGCAGAUUUGGCACUUGGAAGGGUUGAAUUCCAUCAUUCCAGAUGUUUUCCUCAAUUUUCUUGGUCCUAAAUUGUAGAAAUGGGGAAAGAAAUGUAGAUUUGGCAUUUGGAAGGGUUGAAUUCCAUCAUUCCAGAGGUUUUUCCUGAUUUUAUUGAUCCUAAAUCCUGGAAAUGGGAGAGAAAAAAUGCAGAUGUGGCUCUGGAAGGGUUGAAUUCCAUCAUUCCAGAAGUUUUUCCCAAUUUUAUUGAUCCUAAAUCCUGGAAAUGGGGGAAAAAAUGCAGAUUUGG